AGAGUUUGAUUAUGGCUCAGGACGAACGCUGGCGGCGUGCUUAACACAUGCAAGUCGAACGGGGAUUAGUUGAUAGAGAGCUUCGGCAGGAAAUUGAUUAAUUCGAGUGGCGGACGGGUGAGUAACGCGUGAGCAACCUGUCCCAGACAGGGGGAUAACACUUGGAAACAGGUGCUAAUACCGCAUAAGACCACGGGAUCACAUGGUUCUGGGGUAAAAGGAGCAAUCCGGUUUGGGGUGGGCUCGCGUCCGAUUAGCCAGUUGGCGGGGUAACGGCCCACCAAAGCGACGAUCGGUAGCCGACCUGAGAGGGUGAACGGCCACAUUGGAACUGAGAGACGGUCCAAACUCCUACGGGAGGCAGCAGUGGGGAAUAUUGGGCAAUGGGCGAAAGCCUGAACCCCAGCAACGCCGCGUGAGUGAAGAAGGCCUUCGGGUUGUAAAGCUCUGUUAUAGUUGACGAAGGAAGUGACGGUAGGCUAUAAGGAAGCCCCGGCUAACUACGUGCCAGCAGCCGC
rnacentral:rRNA from 1 species